rnacentral:tRNA from 1 species
GGCGUUGUAGCUCACCGGAAGAGCGGGCGCCCAUUUGUGCGCCAGGCAAUGAGUUCAAUUCUCAUCAACGGCUCCA